AGCAGCCGCGGUAAUUCCAGCUCCAAUAGCGUAUAUUAAAGUUGCCGCAGUUAAAAAGCUCGUAGUUGAAUUUCGGGAUCAAUUUACUGGUCGUGCCUACGGUACGUACUGGUAUUGUUGGUUCCUCCUUUCUGAGGAGCCGCGAUGUCAUUAACUUGGUGUCGCGGGGAAUCAGGACUGUUACUUUGAAAAAAUUAGAGUGUUUAAAGCAGGCUAACGCUUGAAUACAUUAGCAUGGAAUAAUGAAAUAGGACGUUUGAUCCUAUUUUGUUGGUUUCUAGGGUCGACGUAAUGAUUAAUAGGGAUAGUUGGGGGCAUUAGUAUUCAAUUGUCAGAGGUGAAAUUCUUGGAUUUAUUGAAGACUAACUACUGCGAAAGCAUUUGCCAAGGAUGUUUUCAUUAAUCAAGAACGAAAGUUAGGGGAUCGAAGACGAUCAGAUACCGUCGUAGUCUUAACCAUAAACUAUGCCGACUAGGGAUCGGAUGAUGUUAAUUUUUUAAUGACUCAUUCGGCGCCUUA
rnacentral:rRNA from 1 species